AUUGAACGCUGGCGGCAUGCCUUACACAUGCAAGUCGAACGGCAGCACGGGUGCUUGCACCUGGUGGCGAGUGGCGAACGGGUGAGUAAUACAUCGGAACAUGUCCUGUAGUGGGGGGUAGCCCGGCGAAAGCCGGAUUAAUACCGCAUACGAUCUACGGAUGAAAGCGGGGGACCUUCGGGCCUCGCGCUAUAGGGUUGGCCGAUGGCGGAUUAGCUAGUUGGUGGGGUAAAGGCCUACCAAGGCGACGAUCAGUAGCUGGUCUGAGAGGACGACCAGCCACACUGGGACUGAGACACGGCCCAGACUCCUACGGGAGGCAGCAGUGGGGAAUUUUGGACAAUGGGCGAAAGCCUGAUCAAGCAAUGCCGCGUGUGUGAAGAAGGCCUUCGGGUUGUAAAGCACUUUUGUCCGGAAAGAAAUCCUUGGCCCUAAUACGGUCGGGGGAUGACGGUACCGGAAGAAUAAGCACCGGCUAACUACGUG
rnacentral:rRNA from 1 species